rnacentral:rRNA from 1 species
UACAGAGGAUGCAAGCGUUAUCCGGAAUUAUUGGGCGUAAAGCGUCCGCAGGUGGCACUUCAAGUCUGUCGUCAAAGACUGGGGCUUAACCCUGGAAAGGCGGUGGAAACUGAAGCGCUAGAGUGCGGUAGGGGUAGAGGGAAUUCCAGGUGUAGCGGUGAAAUGCGUAGAUAUCUGGAGGAACACCGGUGGCGAAGGCGGCAUUCUGGACCAAUACUGACGCUGAGGAGCGAAAGCCAGGGGAGCAAACGGG